rnacentral:rRNA from 1 species
GGAGCCGUAGCGAAAGCGAGUUUUAACUGAGCGUUCAUACAUGACGUAGAGCCGUACCCGGGCGUGCUACCCAUGCGCAGGAUGAAGCAAAAGAAAAUUUUCGUGGAGAUGCGGACCCACGAGCGUUGAACAGCGCGGGGAUGACUUGUGGGUAGCGGUGAAAUUCCAAUCGCACCUUGAG